CCGGAGAGGCACCUUGGGGAGCCUAUCUGGGCGCGGCUGACUGGGCACAAAGGCAACCGAGCUGCAGCAAAAAGCGCCACUUCGCAAGCCCGGAACAAGCACUGCGAGCCCUCGAGCUCCAUCUGAGCUGCCCUUACCAUCGUCUGCCCUGCUCACUGCCCUGCAUGUUUGCGGCAUGGGGCUCAGUCAAAGGCCCUGGGAGACAACACUAAGGAAGAAAGACAACUAUGAUUCCUGCCCUCUCGGAGCUCAGUGUCGGGAAGCGGGUGGGGCGUGUGCGGACCACACAACAAGCAGUCAGGACUCCAGCCAACUCGGAACGGAGCAAACCUGUCUCUCCCCUGCCCCUUCGAAUUGGCGGCCACCCUGCCCUCACUUCUGGUGAGGUGCCCCAGAGCUCUUCCUCUGCCUCCCCGCCGUGUCAUGCUGGUGGUCCCCUUCCAUCAGGAAACGCAUCCCCGAGUCCCUCCUCGGAUCUGCUCUGCUCACAUCUAUUCUCCAUACCUUCCAGACCAUUCAGAAUCUCUGCUGUGCCUCGGGGGCUCCGUACAAAGGCAGAAAACAAUCAGAACUCCCCUCUCCCCUCUCCUCACCUAGCACUCUAUUCAGGUGUCCACAUAGGUGUCCCUGAGGCUGCGGAGCUGGCAGAGCACUGAAGGAGAGAAAAUCCCACCCACUGCACACAGGGCCUGUCUUCCCGCUCUCUGCGGGGUGGAGCUCUGGGGCCUGGGCUUACCCAGAAUGACCAACUGGGGUUUGAGUGAACGCGAAGAGUGGAAUUAAAAAAAAAAACAGGUCAAAGUUGGCAUUAAAAUUAGCUGCUGGUCCGAGGCACUACCUGAGGGAAAGAAUUGGAGCCCUCUGCAACAACAGCGGUUGUGCUGGCACCAGUGCUGGAGCCAUCCUCCUCCUGGAACUGCGGGCUGUUCAGGGGCGGCCGACCCCUCCUCCUCGGGGGCUCCUGGCCGCCCUCUCUCAGCCUCUCUCCCGUGGCAGCUCAGCUGCUGGACUGCUGCCUGAGAAGAAGGACCGUGACCGGGACAACACCCAAGUAAGGAGGCUCCAUCUUCACCCACCCACGCUCAUGGAGGCCCUCGUCCCACAAAUCCUGGGGCCUCCCAGGGCGUGGGGUUCCGAGCUGCUCUGCUCUCUGCCCCAUGCACAGCCCAAGGGUUGUCUUGCUGGGGAGGCCACAAUUUCUAAGUCUUGGCCUGAGGAAGAGUAAGAAAAAAUCUCGGCUGUGGACACACCUUGGGAAGGAGGCAAAGGAUAAAAACAAAUCCUCCCAGCGGAGCGGGGAAACCAGCACUGUGCUUAAACCCGCAUCCACGCCCCUGGCUGACCAGCAUCCUCUACACUCCCCGCCUCCCCCCUAUCAGGGCCUCCACCUCCUCAGAGUCACCUGGCUCCUUGCCCAGGAGCUACAGACACCUGCCCACAUGCACAUAGACCAAGAGUGGCCCCACCAGGCCUCCUUGUGGCUCGUUCUGUCCAGACACAAAUGCACUGGGUUGCUGCCACAGAAUGUGACUGGCUGACUCAUCCCCCACACACGGUUCAGAGCCAGACACCCUGCAGGAUCUUGGGAAACUUUUAGCAAGCUAAGCCCUUCAAGCUUCAGACCCGUCCUGCUCCUCGGAAGGGCAUCCCAGAUGUAUUUGCACAAACGUCUCGCUGAGCGAGCUCUGAGCUAACCACCCGUCCAGGCAGCCGUGUCUCUGGAUGUGCGGGGACCGUACAAGUGCUAGUCACGCUGUCUCCAUGUCGUCUGCUCUUCCUCACGGGCAGGUACCAUGCGGCUGCACCGUCAGGGGCCCUCUCUGCACAGACGUGAUGCUCCCGUGCGGCUCUGCUCAGUCCGCCUCUGGGAAGGCUUCCUCAGCUAACCCUGCUCUUCCUCCACUUCCCCUCGCAGUCUCGCUCACUUAACAGCUGAGUGGUGAACAGCAGUGCUCUCCAACUUCACGUGCACCCCACAGUUGUGAGGGGCAGGAUUCCACAUUUCCGACAAGCCCUCAGGUGAUGCGAUGCUGUGGCCUAAGGUCACACUUUAGGUACCAGGGGGAUAGAGGAAGAGGGAGGACUCUGAGUCAGUCGAACUGUAUCCUGGUGCCAGCUCCUCCGGAACCAACCAUCACACCUCAGAAGACUGCCGUGAGGAUGACGUGAGGGGAGGUGAUGCAGGACAGUCCCUGAAGCAGUGGCACUCACAGAUGCAAUUUCUCUCCCUUUUGCUUUGAUUUUCUCCCUGUAAUAGCAGGGAACGUGAUACCUCAGAAGAGAGGUACUGCCAGAGAAUAAAAUAACACAGAACCCCGUGGUG